rnacentral:ncRNA from 1 species
UGAUCCUGCCAGUAGUCAUAUGCUUGUCUCAAAGAUUAAGCCAUGCAAGUCUAAGUACGAGCUCUCGUACAGUGAAACUGCGAAUGGCUCAUUAAAUCAGUUAUGUUUCAUUUGAUCGUACAGUUUACUUGGAUAACUGUGGUAAUUCUAGAGCUAAUACAUGCGAGAAGCGCCGACCUCGCGGGAGGCGUGCAUUUAUCAGACCAAAAACCGGCCGCGUCUUCGGGCGCGUUCGCCUUGGUGACUCUGGAUAACUUUGCGGAUCGCACGGUCUAGCACCGGCGACGGAUCAUUCAAGUGUCUGCCCUAUCAACUUUCGUCGGUACGGUAUUUGCCUACCGAGGUUCUUACGGGUGACGGGGAAUCAGGGUUCGAUUCCGGAGAGGGAGCCUGAGAAACGGCUACCACAUCCAAGGAAGGCAGCAGGCGCGCAAAUUACCCAUUCCCGACGCGGGGAGGUAGUGACGAAAAAUAACAAUGCAGGACUCGUUCGAGGCCCUGUAAUUGGAAUGAGUACACUUUAAAAGCUUUAACGAGUAUCCAUUGGAGGGCAAGUCUGGUGCCAGCAGCCGCGGUAAUUCCAGCUCCAAAAGUAUAUAUUUAAGUUGUUGCGGUUAAAAAGCUCGUAGUUGGAUUUUGGGCGCAGGCGGCCGGUCCGUCGCAAGG